rnacentral:rRNA from 1 species
UACGUAGGGGGCAAGCGUUAUCCGGAAUUACUGGGCGUAAAGGGUGCGUAGGUGGUUUCUUAAGUCAGAGGUGAAAGGCUACGGCUCAACCGUAGUAAGCCUUUGAAACUGGGAAACUUGAGUGCAGGAGAGGAGGGUGGAAUUCCUAGUGUAGCGGUGAAAUGCGUAGAUAUUAGGAGGAACACCAGUUGCGAAGGCGGCUCUCUGGACUGUAACUGACACUGAGGCACGAAAGCGUGGGGAGCAAACAGG